rnacentral:lncRNA from 1 species
UUUUAUGUAUUUAUCAUUUCUUAUUUAUUUUUUUAGUAGAAUUUCUCUAAGUCUUGUUAUUGUGGCAUUGUGGUGCUGAUAUUUUUUACGAGUUCUUGUCUUUCUUCCUUAUUCUCUUAGAAGGAUGAUGAGAUGGUCAUUAUAGUUGUCAUAAUUUGGAUAUUAUUGGCCAGUUAUGCAAGAAAAUGCAACCAAAUUC